UGAUUUUAAAGAUUUCAACAAUAACAACUUUUACGCUAAACACCUCAAUAUGACACCACCAGAUUCGGCCAUAACUCCUAGGCCGAGUUUGAGGUGUUACAUUUCCUAUGGUUGUGGAUGGUCCUUCCUAUGCAGGUUGGGUGGUGUCAGAUAGGGCUUUCCAAGGUGGAAGUGGUUGCAGGCAUCGAAAUGACUCUAUGUCAAAUUGUUCAGUUAAAUGGUAUUGUAUUCAUAGUUACACGUGGUGUUGUACUCGAGGUAUACCUCUAUACAUCGGGUCAUUUCCUCACUCAUUGGAGCUGUCGAAGUCAACGUCACCCCCUUUUGUUGUACCAUCAGUGGUAUGGGUUGUGGCUUUUCCACUAGCUCUGGUAGCUCACGGUCUCGAAUGUAUUCCCGAUGUGCCAUCACCUACUCAUUUCUUUCCUCCACUUGAUUGUCUCGUUGAUUAUAGAAUCGUUAAAAAAUGACAUCGUUUAAGAUGCCCUUCGCUGGGAAAGUUGGUUGUUCUUGGUCAAUCUCCACUUUAGCCCUCUGACAUAUUAUCUCAUGUUGCAGAGGAUCUAGCCCCCCAUAUUAAUCUUCAAUCCCUGCAAAAUGGCAUACAAUAGAAGAGCACUAUCACAGGUAACUUCAAUGACGUACUAUGCAAGAAAAUAAUUGCACAAAUAAAAUAUAUCAAAAUUUUUGCUUUUGGGGUCAUUAUUGAUUGCUAAAAUCACAAUGGUUCUCAGGUUACUAGCUUUUGGACCAAAUGGCUUUGAUCCUUAGUUAAAAAAUUAAAAAUCUUGUCAUAAUCCACCUCCCCUUCACUUAUCUCGUCAUAAAAAUUGAAGGAAUAGCGAGAUGUUUUAUGAAUAGCCUCAAUCACGACUGGAAAGGUAUUUACAUACAUGACUCUCACAAGUCUUUACUUUCUUGUACUUCAAGAAAAUUCACGUAAAAUUCUUGAACAAUCGAAAUUACGGUUGGUUUGAAAGGUUUUCAGCAAAAUGUGUUCCACCGUAAGUGGUUGGCCCUCGUAAUUAUAGGGUUGUGGAAUAAUUGCGUGGAAAAAUUGAAUUCAUGUUUCAGAAUUAGUGGUUUAUCAAAAUUGCCAAAUCAUUUGGUCGCUUCAUUGGAGACAAAUCGUCUCAUCGGAUUGUUUUGAACAUCGUGUUUUGUGGCUCGUUGGGUUGCAGGUCACUUUUGAGAUGUCAUAUUAAAAAAUUCUUAUUUGAGUUCAACAAUCAAUAACACAAUAUAAUCAAUUAACAUAAAAUUCCAAGUUUGCUAAUCUAUUUAUCACAAUCUAACACAUAUAUUAAAAUAUUAGAAAAGAGAUUGAGUAUCACCGGGCUUUCAAGUUGUCGAAAUGGUGGCGUCUCCGUGCUUCCCUGUCAGCCACCGUGUUUCCUUUACAAGAAUUUCAUUGCUUUACUCAAAGAGGAGAGUUUUAAUCCAAAUCCUAAGUAAAAUGGGAAUAAAAAAAUAAAAAUAAGAGAUUAAUGAUUAAGAAACAAGGAAAAAGUUGAAGACGCAGGGAAUUUGAGGCUUUGGGGAUGAAGAACGAUGGAGAAGAAGAAGAAGAAACUAUUUGGGGGUUUUGGUUAGGGCUCGUAUUGAUGAGGCCCUUUUAUCAUCAUCACCUUGUCGCGACAUCAAUUCCUUCCUCAUCUAUACAUUGCGUUUAGGUUAUGAGUUCCAAUGUUGUUAUGUCACGAAUCAUUGCAACAUGGAGAACCAUUCGUUGCGACGGG
rnacentral:lncRNA from 1 species